CCACAUGAGGCCUUACAUCUGGAUUAAAACACUGACUCUCUCACACACACACACACACAUUCACCUACACCACACUGACUCACACACACACACACACACACACACACACACACACACACACACACACACACACACACACACACACACACACAUUCACCUACACCACACUGACUCACACACACACACACACACACACUCACCUACACCCACACAGACAAUGACGAAUGUGCACUGCUGAGCUACUUUGCCCCCUCAUAGAUGAGGACCUGGUAAAGUAGUGUUUUCUCUCUCAUCUCUGUGGGGUGUGUGGGGGGGGGGGGCAGAGGAGUACCCUCCUGCACUUCUUACAGUUAAGCACCUUAAACUACACUAAUGCACUUUAUCACGGGGUUUCAAUAUUUGAAAUGAUGUUUUGCCAGUUUGUUUUCUUGUUUUUAGGAUGCAAAAUGUGCAUAUUGUGUCUACAAUAUGAAUACACACAUGUGGAUGUGUGUGUGCAAACAUACCUAAGCCUACAAUUGGAUCCAUUGAAAUCCAAAGCUACUGGACAAUGGACUCAUUGUAUUCCUCAAGGAUUGCCUUUCCCUGGACAUUCUCCACAAGAAAAGAUGACAUUGAGGACGACCUUGACACAGAAGACCAGAUUCUUCAGUGUACCAGAACGAUACUGCGCUGACCACCAGAGAUUCACAGAAGGAUACCUCAUGGACACCACCACCUCAUUACUCUGUCCAUGUAGCGGCCUCUCUGCUGGACGACUGUCUGAGGUGUAUUGGCGGCUGAGGCCUGUGGGCUCUCAUACUGUUGGACUGGACCACAGCUGGACAUGGGAUGGUCUCAGAGGGGAGCAGACGGUAGAGGAGAGAAACCAGCUUUGUCCCAGUCCUGGACUGAGGGUGAGAUGGAACCCAGCUGACUAAGGUCUCAACCAGGAGUUAACACACCUUGUGAACAUGGACUCUCAAAAUGACUGAACAUGUACAACUAUGCUCAUGGCCUGUUACAUUCAUUCACACACGCGCACAUCUGGUUGGCAAGUUUCAACUCCUGGAUGUAAAUAGUGAACGAUUAAUUCCUCUACUCAUUUUUGUUUGGUUAUUUGAACCUUUAUUUGGUUUUACUUGCCUUAAAUGUACAGAAUGAAAUUGCCCAUGUGUGUGAUGUCCCCUCCCCCACCAUCCCUAAGUAAUGGGCUUUACCUGGUGAAGUGUAUCCAAUGAUUGCUGGCUUUGGGUUGGUUUGGGACAUUUGCCCUUCUAACAGAGCAGUACAAUUGCAGUAAUGGGGAUUUAAUGUGAGUGCUGUAAAAAUAAAAAUAUAAUGCUAAAGCUAUUAGAGGAAUGUCUGUCAUGCAAAAUUGGUUAAUUCGUUUUGGGGAAAAUGUUCUAGGUUUGACGCUUGCUACUCGGCCACAGCAGAAUUUGAGAUGGAGGGGGGGAGGGGGGCAGGCAUUGUGUAUAUAGUUUUCCUUUUGAAUAGACGUGUUACAGAAUAAAUAAACUGUGUGGAAUGCAAUAUGAAUGUGUUGUCAUAAUUUCGCAAUUACAUAUUGUUUUAAAGGGAUGACCGACUAACAUGACGUUUUUUCUCGACGAUUCCACAAGUUGAAUUGCCACUGUUCGUCGACGCUCAGCUGGUGAUCUACUGCGCACGUCCGACGUUCUUGGUGGUCGGUCUAACCUCUUACAUGUUACCAAAAACUACAAUAUGUGAUAUUACACUGCCUGCUGUUUUACAUGUUGCCACGUGGUGGCAUGGUAGGUUCAGUUUUGUUGUCCUAUAGUCCACUUUACUCCGCUUCCUUUUCUGCUUUCCCAAUCAUGAAACUACUGGAAAUGAGUCGCUGAAUUGUUAUAUUAUAAAUUAAUACCAUCUGUUACAGAAUAACGGGUGGGGGAGCUACAAGCGUGUUACUGCACAUCGGGCAUUUCUUAACCAACAUUUGACACGGCAUCUGCCACAAUAUUUGGGGCAAAAUAUGUUGGUUAUAGGCUAGAUGCCCUUUCACUAUGUUCCUUGGCCACUGUCGGCAUUAGACAAUCCGAAGUCUACCUGUCGCUGCUAUAAUGGCGAAAAGAGGAUAUAUAUGAUGUGGGAAGUUGUUCCGAUUCGCGUGUUACACUGAUUAGAGGGCAUUUUCCAUUUAGGUAUGUCAUCAGUUUGAGUGGUGAUAAAUGGUAAGGGGUCUCCCAGAGCUACACUCUGGGACACAAGUACUCUUGCAUAGCAUGUGCUACUGCACUCCAUACCUAGAUACUCUAUCAGUGUGCAGCAUAGUACGAGGUUGAGAGAGAGAAGGAUGCAACGAACAUAAAGCAGUAUUGUGAACAGAAGAGACCUCUCGGGAAACUGGCUUUGAUCAAAACGAGUUAAUCGAGGUGCAAUAUUCAGUUACUCCCUGUCCUUUUUGAAGUUUGACCGAAGAAGUUUGACCUGUUAUUUAAUUUUUUAAUGCCAAAAUAGCGGAAAGGAUAAAGGACGGAUAGAAUGGGCAUUUCUUUGUGCGCUAAGACGCAGAAGCAAUAACAAUGGAGAAAGCGGUAAAAGCCUUAAUGCGUUAAGCAUUCAAGAGAAUAGCGAAUAGGCGAUGAUAAACUUGGGUCAGCGAAUGUUUUCUUAUACAACAUUGGACUAGGCUGUAUGAGUCAGGGACAUUUGAGCAAGCAAACCAGUGCAUCUGCGUGGCAAGGUAGGCAAUGGCACUUCGCCAAUGAAGAUAAACGCCAGCUAUCCAAAAUUACGCUUCCAAAGUGGUAGAAGGCGUUUACUCCGAUAUUCGCGACAUUCAACGCAUUUGCAUUUGUCUGGAGAGGUGACAUUUAGGAGAGAGGAUGGACAUGGGCUUUGUCAUGCAAAAAUGUCCAUAAUUGCUGGACACGUUUCAAACCAGAAAGCUACAUAUUGCCACUAAUGCACUUUAAACUCAAGAGGUUGACACAUUAUCUCUUCACACAUUCCAACUACUCUGAAUGUUGUCUGAUUUUUGGGACGUUUUUUUCUUAUGCGGUUUCCGAAGUCUCACCAUAGCUGUGCGCUUCCAGGGAUUUAGUGAACUUCGUUCGCAGUCUCCAAGCGAUUCUUUGUCUUAAUCGAUUCC
rnacentral:lncRNA from 8 species